rnacentral:misc_RNA from 1 species
AUGAUAAUUAACACUUUAAUAAUUAUAAUAUUUAUAAUAAAUUUAAUUUUCUUAUUCAUGUUCCACCCGCUAGCUAUAAUUUUUGUUUUAAUUUUGCAAACGAUAUUAAUUUCUAUUAUUAUAUAUAGAAUCACACAAUUUCCCUGGUUUUCAUAUACCUUAAUUCUAGUGUUUUUAGGAGGAAUGUUAAUUCUGUUUACCUAUAUAUCUAAUAUUGCAUCUAACGAGAUAUUUAAACCGAACUUGAAGAUAAUGGCUCCUUUAGUACUAGCUCCUUUAAUUACAAUUUUUAUAAUGAAACCGAAGCAAAGACUAACUCUAGAAACUAAAAUUUCUUCUUCAAACCAAUUUUCUAACUUAAUGGUUUUGAAACCAUUCUCCGAGGCCAUUAUACCGGUUACAUUAUUAAUAGCUUCGUAUAUUAUCCUUACACUUCUCACCGUUGUAAAGAUUAGAAAAAUAUCGCAAGGUCCUCUUCGAAUUGUUUAA